UAUGACUAUGUUGUUAGUGUAGGCAUUUAACUAGAGCAUUUUAUUUUCAAGGGAAAUAAUUGUGGUCUGACUGUAUUAUUUUGAAAAUCACAGUUGAGAUUUUUUUAUGUGUGCACCGGUACAGUUUUGCGGGGAAGCGAAAGUUGACAUGGAAUUUUGUCUUCUUCUAAAAACAAGUGUCUGAUACAUGUAGUUGCAGUCUGUCUUUGGAAGCUGUAGAAAUAACAAGAAAGAGGCUGACAUAGUGUUUUGGUAGGGAAAAGUUUGAGUAUGUACAUGUACAGUUGUUUGACCUGUCUUACCCUGUGGCAGUCCAAGAAGAUGUUACCAUUAUGAAAAUGCAGGAGAACUUGAAGACUAUUGUUAGUGCAGAAGGGACAUAAAAGUUAUGACAAAAGUAACAGAUAUAAAUAAGAAGUGCUACAAGUGUGUUGUCAUGUGAAAUGGAAUUUACCCCAACUGUGCUGCAAGAUGUAUAUUCAAGUGCAAGACAGCCAUGCACCAGCUGUAAACUGAGAUGACCCAUAUAAUAAAUAUGUUGGCUUUUCUAUGUAUUAUCAUCUGUACAGAAUGUGUUCAUGACAAGACUGUAUACAUAUAUUGUUAAAUCAUUUUUUAUUUCCAUUAUUGCAUGCAUGUAAGAAGCAAGCAUUUAACAAUUGCAUUCAUAGAAGUGUUAAAAUGUGAUCAAUCUAAUUUAAAGAAACACAUUUAAUUGGACUUUUUAAGUUUCAUAGUAUUUGUGGAGGCGACUGACCCAGUCAUUCAGCAACUUAUACUGUCUGUGUGUCAUUUCUUGUAUGUUAUAGUUUUCUUAAUAAUACAUUAAAUGUCAAAGUUACGGUAAGAUGAACUCAUUCAUCACUUGUAGAUUAAUGUUAAAGCAGUUCAACAUUUUACCAUAAGUUAACUAAUAUUCUAUUUAACCAGAGUUGUCACAUAUUUUCAUAUAAAUAUUUGUAUAAUACAGUCUAAUCUAAUCUACAUUAUGAUGUUCCACAACUUUUAGUUAUAUUUUAUGUUGAUAUUUUAUGUUGUUUUCAUGUC